rnacentral:miRNA from 1 species
GAUCGAACGCGUGAGUUUACG